UACAGAGGUCCCAAGCGUUGUUCGGAUUCACUGGGCGUAAAGGGUGCGUAGGUGGCCAGGUAAGUCUGAUGUGAAAUCUCGGAGCUCAACUCCGAAACUGCAUUGGAUACUAUCUGGCUGGAGGGUCGGAGGGGGGACUGGAAUCCUCGGUGUAGCAGUGAAAUGCGUAGAUAUCGAGAGGAACACCAGUGGCGAAGGCGAGUCCCUGGACGACUCCUGACACUGAGGCACGAAAGCUAGGGGAGCAAACAGG
rnacentral:rRNA from 1 species